UGUCCCUGACAGGCAGAAUAAAUAAUAUCUUUAGGCCUGACAAGAAGAACUCCAGAAGCAACAAGAAAAAUUUUUUAAUGACAUUAAAAUUAAAGGAAUACCUCACCAAUUUUUUUUAUGCGGGUUGACCAAAAGCAUGUUGUGUAAUAUUUAAGAAUGAAGGAACACUCCAUAAUUUUAAUGCAGAGAAAUUAUGCUUUAUUCCUCUGCAUAAACUUUCCAUGGGCUCACAGACCACCACUAGUGCUUCCUGGUUUUCUCUGUACCUGCCCCAGCAAUGGUCAGGCUGAGAGGGAGGGGGAGCCCGGCUGAGAGGGAGGCGGAGCCCAGCUGUUGGAGUGAAACUGCUCUGUCCGCCUCUUUUUCCUCGAAUAUGCAUACAGCACUGAUAUUCAAUGGCCGAAGGACCUGCUGUGGAUUAUUUAUGAUACAGCGAGUUCUACCCUGUAUUAGUGCAGUCUGAUAUUCAUGGUUACUCGUAUGGGCAAAAGUGCUGCACAGACGAUUUAUGACGUCUGGAGAAGAUCCAGCCAAAAGACGCCCGGAGCCCUAAUAGAGAGCUGGGGCCCGGCAUCCCUGAGCCAAGAACUGGCAGCAGAGAGCCAGCUGCAUCGUGUCUCUGCAAUGCGCGCCAAUAGAAACACAACUGAAUAUAAAUCAGAGGUGUAAUGAAUCUACUGCUGACAGGGGAACGUGUUACGUUUUGCUGCAUAUAAAAAAAAGCAGUCGGAACUAGCUUAAGGGUGGCAUGGGCAAACCGAAAAAAACAGCCAGGACAGGACGGUUGAAUGAGCACAGAGCAAUAUCGGCUGGCCGCAUAUUGUCACAAAGACUCUUGGAAAGAACCGUUUUGUUUUGCCAGCCACUAACAGCAGAUGAAGAAAAGAAGAGGGUUUUGGCUAAAUGACAGAUAACUGUCUGUUUUUAUUCAAAAUAAAAGGCAUAUGUCUUUAUUCAAACACACUGUUAAAAUAUAAGUUUUGUUAAAAAUGUAAAGCAAUCCCAAAUAACGUUUGUCUGUGAACCUGAGGAAGUAACACGCCCCGCAGUAGCAGGUCACACUGAAGCUUGGAAGGUUUGUCUUAGUGCAAUGCAUUCUGUGUGUUGUAGGAUUUGACCAUUUUCAGCUACAACACAUAAUAUAAACAUAAAAUGCUUAUUCUUCCCUUUAAUAUUUUCUACAAUCAUCUACACUUGUACUUCUAACAGCCUUCAGGUCAAUGGACAAUGAUUUGAAAGCAGUUACGAAAAACAAGCAUUAGUCCCCAGCCUGUUUGUUCUGGACUGUGUACUAAUGUGUAUAUCCUACAAUACACAUUCUGUGUGUUGUAGGAUAUACUCAUUUUUAAACACAACACAUAAUAUUGCCACUUUUCCCUGUUUUUGUUUAACAUAGACCAUCAAUGUUAAAUGUUUUUGCACAUUUUGGCUGAUAAAAUGUCAGAUUUUUAAAACACAACUUGCACUUAAGCGUUGAAGUAUCCCUACAAAACACCUAGGUUUUGGUUGAUAUCACGUGUCUAUAUCCCCAUGGAGACAGGAUUUGAAACUUUGUGACCGCUUCACUGACUGCUAGUUGACUGUAGCUGUUUCCGUUUUAAUUAAUAGUCCUUUGUCUCAUUAGAGACACACACACAAACAGUCCUCUAACAUGCACUACAAACACUGAAUGUCUGGCAAGACAACAAGCAAAGCACCACAGACAGAUUUACAAUCACAGACAGGCUUCAGCCAAAGAACAGCUUGAACAAUAAUUCAACGUAAAACCUGGUGAGUGUGGCGUUUCCCACUGUCUGAAUGGUGUAUUUUUUCUUAUUAAGUAAAGUUAACCACUAGUCAGGUUUUACAAUUUGGAAGCUGUAAAAAAAACAGUUUUAACUACGGGUACCCAUGUAAGCUAAUUGAUUUAAAAUAUCAAAGGAAGCUUUGUGUGGUUUAAUGUUAGUAAAGACAAAAACAACUUAUGUUCAUAUACUUUGUGUGGGAAUCAUCUUGGAAGAGAGUGUGGUGAUGUAUGAACUGGCCAACCUGCCCUCCAGCUGGACUACCCUAAAUACAUGAAAAACCCUUUUUCCUUUUUUCAGCAGCUACUGUAAUGUUAUGUUAAACAAAUGUAUAAUUUAAAUGAGCACACUUUUACUUUAAUCGUAUUGUUAAAUGAUGAAUUCGAAGCAAAAUACAUGUUUAUUGUUUAUACUGUUA